GUAGGUGAACCUGCGGAAGGAUCAUUACCGAGUUAGGGUCUUCUAGGCCCGACCUCCAACCCUUUGUUAACUAUACCAUGUUGCUUUGGUGGGCCCGCCCUUAGGGGCCGCCGGGGACUUCUGUACCUGGUCAGUACCCGCCAGUAGCCUUCUUAAAUUCCUUCAUAAUUGUGUCGUCUGAGUAUACUUAUAAAUCGUUAAAACUUUCAACAACGGAUCUCUUGGUUCUGGCAUCGAUGAAGAACGCAGC
rnacentral:misc_RNA from 1 species